rnacentral:rRNA from 1 species
CCUACGGGAGGCAGCAGUGGGGAAUAUUGGACAAUGGGCGCAAGCCUGAUCUAGCCAUGCCGCGUGAGUGAUGAAGGCCCUAGGGUCGUAAAGCUCUUUCAACUGUGAAGAUAAUGACGGUAGCAGUAGAAGAAACCCCGGCUAACUCCGUGCCAGCAGCCGCGGUAAU